AAUUAACAGCACAUAAAGGCAGCUCUCAAGGACUCACGUUGAGAGCAGAAAAAGAGGGGAUCAAAUAUUUCAUGGAAGAAAGGCUGCUGGUCUGGGGCAGAACAGGAAAUGGCAUUGUGAGAAGAAUACCCUUUGGACACACAUAAAGGGGAAGAGGAGA